GACGAACCGAGCGAACGUUGUUCGGAAUCACUGGGCUUAAAGGGCGCGUAGGCGGGCUGCCGCGUCCGGGGUGAAAUCCCACGGCUCAACCGUGGAACGGCCCCGGGUACGGGCGGCCUCGAGGGGGUAGGGGCGUGCGGAACUGUGGGUGGAGCGGUGAAAUGCGUUGAUAUCCACAGGAACUCCGGUGGCGAAGGCGGCACGCUGGACCCCACUGACGCUGACGGCGCGAAAGCCAGGGGAGCGAACGGG
rnacentral:rRNA from 1 species